rnacentral:rRNA from 1 species
GACGAACGCUGGCGGCGUGCUUAACACAUGCAAGUCGAGCGGAAAGGCCCUGCUUUUGUGGGGUGCUCGAGUGGCGAACGGGUGAGUAACACGUGAGUAACCUGCCCUUGACUUUGGGAUAACUUCAGGAAACUGGGGCUAAUACCGGAUAGGAGCUCCUGCUGCAUGGUGGGGGUUGGAAAGUUUCGGCGGUUGGGGAUGGACUCGCGGCUUAUCAGCUUGUUGGUGGGGUAGUGGCUUACCAAGGCUUUGACGGGUAGCCGGCCUGAGAGGGUGACCGGCCACAUUGGGACUGAGAUACGGCCCAGACUCCUACGGGAGGCAGCAGUGGGGAAUAUUGCACAAUGGGCGGAAGCCUGAUGCAGCAACGCCGCGUGCGGGAUGACGGCCUUCGGGUUGUAAACCGCUUUCGCCUGUGACGAAGCGUGAGUGACGGUAAUAGGUAAAGAAGCACCGGCUAACUACGUG